rnacentral:lncRNA from 1 species
CAGGAGCCAGGCAAGUGGAGACAGAAUAUCACUUUCCCAGCUGUUAAACCUGCGUGGGAUUGUGGUUUAGGGCCUAUAGGCCACACAGGUUGGCUGUGUCCUUGUGCCUGAACCUGUCACAGUCUCCAGGCAUGGCGCGGGCAGAGGUGGACAGCUGCAGGCUCUUGAACGGCUGCUGCUGUGGAAGUGUGGAGUGACCUGUCUGCAGAGGGACGGCUCAGGAGAGAGGAAGCGUGUAUGGGAGAGCACUGAUCUUUCUAAAACCCUCCGAUCAGCAAGUUCUUUUCUUUCCCUGGGGAUGUAUAGGGGAAGGAAAGGAGAAUGCAGGUCCCUCCAUCAUGAAAGAGGAAUGGGAAACAGUGCUCACCCUCAGCAGUGCAGAAGAGGGUUAGACCCAAGCUGUCUGAUUCUGUAGGGUGGCACUAGUGACAAAGGAUAUGUGCUUGCAGGAGGCGAACUGCAGACCUAUGUAAGAAACAAAAAUGAUAUUGGGUGCUUAUUACAUGACUGCAUCCUAAAGGGUUGCCUCAGUAGGUCUGGGAUGAAAUAUCUUUGAAAACUGCGCAUUUCAGGGACUCCUGAGAGAUGCCCUUUAAGCCUUUGCAAUAUUUGGACUGAUAGGAGUAUCUUUGUUUUCCCGGGGCCUUUGCCCACACUGGGUAGUUUAGGCUAACACUGUGAUUUAUGGUGAGGCGCCUGGGUCACCAUGUAUCAGUGUGACCUCUGCAGAAGCAGCAGACUGAAUAACUAAGGUCAGCCACGCAGGUGCUCCACAGCUACGCGAUAAGCCACCACUAAGAAUACUGGACACCAGGAUGUGGAGGAGCUGCCUUGGCUGACACAACUCUGAAUAUGUUGUCAUGUGUUCUCACUGGGAAAACUGGGUAUCAUCCAUGCGGCUGUCCUGGGAGAGGACAGCUGGAAGCUGGGUGGUCUCUCCUGGGCUCUGACUUUUGUCUUUUUGGGUUCUAAUCUGUACCCUUCUGCUGCCAUGGUUACUAACUGCAACCAUAGUAACUUUUCUUAAUUCUACAAGUUCUAGUGAGUUCCAGAACCCGAGAGGUGGUCCUUGCACCCACAACAUAGACCUAGAUGCAUUUGACUUUGCUUUGCGAGGUCAGUCUCACAACAGCCACGUGAGUUAGGCACCGCUGGGACACAAGAAGAAACGGAGGCACGGAGACGUGAAGUAACUUGCCUAGGAGUCCCUGAAUGGCUGGCUGGAGGUGCAGAGGAACCAUGUCUCCACUCGAUGUGUCCUCAUCUGUCUGAUACCCAGGUUUCACCCCAGAAGCCAGAGACCUGAGAUACUCCAAAGGAUGCCAGGGAAACUAUGAAGCCCUUCAGACAGGGAGCAGCCCGAAUGCAUCAGUCAUCACCAUCCGGGGGAGAACCAACCUGUCCUGGUUUAACUGGGACUGUGCUGGUUUUGAAGUGGAAAGUCCUCUGUGCCGGGAGCCCUCUUGGUUGUUUGCAAACUA